GCGCCAUAUGAAACUUGGUCUAAUCCGAGAAGAAAAGAAAAAAAGUGAACAACCACAGAAAUUUCUUUAAUCCCUCAUAUGCUCUCAUUGAAUCCCUAAACCUAAACUACCCAAACCAGCUCCCUAAAUCAGUGUCGCCUCCUCUUCCUCUCUCUCUCACUUAGUUUCCUCAGCCCUCUCUCUCUCAUGCGAGUCGCUGAAACACACCAUGACUGUGCCAGCCUCCCCGUCAUUCUUUCUCUCUGAUAUCUCUCCCGCUGGACCUCUGUUUUUCUGUGAGUCGAAUGCCGUUUCAAUAGAUACCAAUUUCUCAGCCUAGAGAGAGAGAGAGCGAGAGAGGGAGUCGCACACAGAGAUGGCGGGUCAGAUUGUUAAAGCGAGGAGGGAAAAGCUGGAGGCAUGCAUGACAUGCCCUCUUUGUAAUAAGCUCUUGAGCGAAGCUACUACCAUCUCUCUCUGCCUCCACACGACUUGGAGUAUUUGAAAUGUCACAAUUAGGAAUGCAAGCAGUUUUAAAUCCCAGUGAGAUGUUUUUAAGUGAGGAGUAUUCAGGCUCAUAUGUUUUCGAGGUGGUUGUUGCAGUUACUAUGGAUGGAUCUCAAAGAUUUCUUGUAGAGAUUCAGGUAGCUUUUCUAUAGUUUGAUGACAUUAUUUUUCCAUGUUGGAGAUUCUGAUUUACAUUUUGAAAUGACAAUGUCUAACUGGGAGCUUUUUUCAUUUUCAUUUAUAUUUUAUAUUCUCCCGCUUCCUUUGUAAUCAGACAGUGAUGAAGUUAUUACACCUGAAAAUUUUACCCUUUAUUUAUUUUCCCUGUUUAAAUAAAGAAAUACAACAAUAAUAAUUUCCACUUGUGAAAGUGAAUUUAUGUCUUGUCUGUUAAGAGUGCUGCUGGGGAACUUCUUAAAGAGAAAUAAGAUACUCGUUCUUGCUAGAAAAACAGAAGCAAGCACUCUCAGAGUGGUAACGGAAGUUAGCUGAUAACUUAGGCUCCAUUUGGUUGGGGAUAAUGGAAUGCAAUCAAGAGAGGCCAUCGUUCGACCACAACAACCCGUGCAACUGGAGUCUUCCUCUCUUCUCCAGUGACUAGUUUAUUUCUUAUUACUAGGCACAAAAAAAUCUUGAAAACAACACCUCAGGCGCACUACAUAUUCCCCAGGACUAGCUAGUGAUGGGUGGCAUUCUCAGCUGUAGUAGUGGACAAAAUGUUCCAUCCAUUGGAAAGUCCAAGAAAUCCUCAAUGCCUUAUGGAUAGGUCAAAAAUUUGAAUGUUGGAGACUUGAUUUUGCUCCCAUAACUGAUUCUGCUUCAAAUCAUGGCCUAAUCCCAACAAUUCUCUAUGGGUGAGCAAUUUUGACAGAGUAAGAAUCUUGCAACUCUGACCAAGCUAUGAUUUGUUAACCAACCUCACUCUGUUACAGUUUGAAUUUGUACUUUUAUUUAUAAGUAACAAAUGUGCUGGGUCUUGGAAAUUAUGCCACUGAUGAUGAUGAUGAUGAUGAUGAUGAUGAUCAAAUUCAUAUCUCUAGCUUGCCAAAUUCUAGGAAUAAAAAGCUUCAGCAUUCAAAUUUUGAAAAAUCUUCAGAAGACAAGCAUGAUGUUGGUGCAAAUGGCAGUUUGGCAGCCCUUGUUGCAGAAAGGUGCACACAAGACGCAACAUGUCAUGCUCCCCGUCACCUGGCAAGUCUAGAAGUAGAAGAAGUUAAGCAAAUGGACUCACAACAAAGACAAGUGCACAAAGGAUGAUGAAUUGAAGAAUGGAGCAAGUUUCAUGCAUGGUUUAUUUUUGUGUAUCUUGUAAUGUUUCUGUUUUUCAAUUUUGAAGUAAAAAAUGUUCAAGAUUAUAAAACUUUAUUAUGUUAUGCUUUCAAACUUAAGUUAGAACUAA